rnacentral:rRNA from 1 species
ACUCCUACGGGAGGCAGCAGUAGGGAAUCUUCGGCAAUGGACGAAAGUCUGACCGAGCAACGCCGCGUGAGUGAAGAAGGUUUUCGGAUCGUAAAACUCUGUUGUUAGAGAAGAACAAGGAUGAGAGUAAAACGUUCAUCCCUUGACGGUAUCUAACCAGAAAGCCACGGCUAACUACGUGCCAGCAGCCGCGGUAAUAC